rnacentral:rRNA from 1 species
GACGAACGCUGGCGGCGUGCUUAACACAUGCAAGUCGAACGGAAAGGCCCUGCUUUUGUGGGGUGCUCGAGUGGCGAACGGGUGAGUAACACGUGAGUAACCUGCCCUUGACUUUGGGAUAACUUCAGGAAACUGGGGCUAAUACCGGAUAGGAGCUCCUGCUGCAUGGUGGGGGUUGGAAAGUUUCGGCGGUUGGGGAUGGACUCGCGGCUUAUCAGCUUGUUGGUGGGGUAGUGGCUUACCAAGGCUUUGACGGGUAGCCGGCCUGAGAGGGUGACCGGCCACAUUGGGACUGAGAUACGGCCCAGACUCCUGCGGGAGGCAGCAGUGGGGAAUAUUGCACAAUGGGCGGAAGCCUGAUGCAGCAACGCCGCGUGCGGGAUGACGGCCUUCGGGUUGUAAACCGCUUUCGCCUGUGACGAAGCGUGAGUGGCGGUAAUGGGUAAAGAAGCACCGGCUAACUACGUG